rnacentral:rRNA from 1 species
UGGGGAAUUUUGGACAAUGGGCGAAAGCCUGAUCCAGCAAUGCCGCGUGUGUGAAGAAGGCCUUCGGGUUGUAAAGCACUUUUGUCCGGAAAGAAAUCCUCUGGGUUAAUACCUCGGGGGGAUGACGGUACCGGAAGAAUAAGCACCGGCUAACUACGUGCCAGCAGCCGCGGUAAUACGUAGGGUGCAAGCGUUAAUCGGAAUUACUGGGCGUAAAGCGUGCGCAGGCGGUUUGCUAAGACCGAUGUGAAAUCCCCGGGCUCAACCUGGGAACUGCAUUGGUGACUGGCAGGCUAGAGUAUGGCAGAGGGGGGUAGAAUUCCACGUGUAGCAGUGAAAUGCGUAGAGAUGUGGAGGAAUACCGAUGGCGAAGGCAGCCCCCUGGGCCAAUACUGACGCUCAUGCACGAAAGCGUGGGGAGCAAACAGGAUUAGAUACCCUGGUAGUCCACGCCCUAAACGAUGUCAACUAGUUGUUGGGGGUUCAUUUCCUUAGUAACGUAGCUAACGCGUGAAGUUGACCGCCUGGGGAGUACGGUCGCAAGAUUAAAACUUAAAGGAAUUGACGGGGUCAUAGCUGUUUCCU